UCAAAAGGUUGCAGCUUUACCUACUUCGUCAACCACAACCUAAGCGACGGUUUCCGUCUGACGAUUAGGGCUCCAACAGGUUACAUACGACUGCCAUCUGCCCGUCGUCUUCCCACCUCUGCAAAACUUGUCAUCCACCCUUGUUCGUCAAGCUUUCGAGCAGCUCAGCACUUCAUCCUUCCACUUUCUACCUUCUCAUCCACUCUGCCAUACCACCUUAUGCUUCGAAUUGCUACCACCGCUACAGUCGGCAUCACCUAAUGCAUCCGUCCCUCACCAGCACUCUUCUACGAGAUAACGCCAGCGACACAAUCACCACCAAAUUCAAGGCUUUCGUCAGGCAAUUAGGGCUCCACCAGAAGGACAUCAAGCAACAGCGCUCAACACUACUCCGCUCUCAAACUUGCGGCCCUCGACACAACCACAACCAAGUCGAAGGCUUUCUUUAGGCGAUUACGGCUCCAGCAGCUUUUUUUAAUGCAAAGCGGACCUUCUUUUGGGUUGCGGCUGUUUCACUUCUCUAAACAGACCCCUUUUCGGACUACUGUCAUCGACUUAUUUUGUCAAGCAAACUACCCUUAGAGUGUAUUACCCAACCCACCGCAAUUACAUAAUCUAAUUUGAACUAAAAUAUAAUAACCCAACCCAGCGCAAUUUCGGCCGCCAAACUCACGAAAACAACAUCUCAUCACUAUUUUCAGGUAUGAUUCGAUUAUUUUUUGUUCUUACCAACUCAUUGUGUUGGCAGCUUUACUUCAGUCUGGCAAGGAAUCCGGAUCGUCAAGAGGACAAGCCGGUGUAAAU
rnacentral:lncRNA from 1 species